CCUACGGGUGGCAGCAGUGGGGAAUAUUGGGCAAUGGGCGCAAGCCUGACCCAGCAACGCCGCGUGAAGGAAGAAGGCUUUCGGGUUGUAAACUUCUUUUCUCAGGGACGAAGCAAGUGACGGUACCUGAGGAAUAAGCCACGGCUAACUACGUGCCAGCAGCCGCGGUAAUACGUAGGUGGCAAGCGUUAUCCGGAUUUACUGGGUGUAAAGGGCGUGUAGGCGGGAAAGCAAGUCAGAUGUGAAAACCAUGGGCGCAACCUGUGGCCUGCAUUUGAAACUGUGUUUCUUGAGUGCUGGAGAGGCAGACGGAAUUCCUAGUGUAGCGGUGAAAUGCGUAGAUAUUAGGAGGAACACCAGUGGCGAAGGCGGUCUGCUGGACAGCAACUGACGCUGAGGCGCGAAAGCGUGGGGAGCAAACAGGAUUAGAUACCCGGGUAGUC
rnacentral:rRNA from 1 species